GCGGGCCGCAGGUUUAGUCCUGGUUGUGGAGUGGGAUGCUGAGAUGGGUCUGGAGGGAUGCAGGAUGUUCUAGGCCGUUAGGAUGGUAAAUAGGGACCUCGCUCCGCGAGGGAUGCUGAACGGGGUCUGGAAGAAUGCAAGAUGUCCUGGUCCGGGCCAGGAAUGGUUACAUGGAUAGUGGGAUGUCAGAAGGGGAAUUGUAGUGAAUCACCCUUCUAUCCAAUCAACUGACAACACAGCAAUGAUCCCACAUCAUCCCAGCCCGAGAAAAACUCAGGGUUGGUGCCGGUGCUGAGCAGCUACUGGCCAGGAGCUGGAUGUCAGAUCCCUGGGAGGAUAUGAGAGGAUGUUUCCAGAAACACCGAACUAAAAAGGAACGUCCAACCCUGAAUGUGGAGGACAUCCUCCUCUGGGCUGGGCUCCCAGACUGAGUAAGAAGAAAAUAAGUUGAGCUCGCCCCCCCCCCCCCCAGCGCUGUAGAUACAGUGUGACCAGUUACCAG
rnacentral:lncRNA from 1 species